UUUUUUUUUUUUUUUUGAGAAAUAGUGUACAAUUAUUAAAAAAUGGCUUAUGGAUCUUUCUUAUUAAAAUAUUCCUUUACUCUUAUACAUAAUCUACCGAGCCGUCACUUUCAUUUCGCUUACCCAAAAUUCAAGAAUCUAGCCAUUGAAGGAGAGAACCCACGACCUCCAAAACCGGAAACUAAAAAACCACAGUCAAUACCACCUGUAAAUACAGUGUCUUUGGUUGUUUUGUUAUCGACAUUUUAAGGCCCAGAAAUUUUCUUUGAAUCUGCACACAGCAGUAGCAGCCUUUAGAAGAAAUCAAGAAAAGUCACAAAAAUGGACGGAGGGAACAACAAAAACAGGCCGAAAGAUAAUGAUGGCAGUGGAUGAGAGCAAGGAGAGCAUGCACGCUCUCUCUUGGUGUCUUGCCAACCUUGUCUCUGCCACUUCUAAUAGCACGUUAGUCCUCCUCUACGUUAAGCCUCCACCUUCUAUCUACUCUCCCUUUGACAUUGCAGGUUUCCAGUUCUAUAGCUCACUUAUCAGAUUGUUGGUACAUUUAACUAAAAUUCAAAAAUAAUCAGUGAAAAGGUGAUAUUUGAUUGCAGGGUACAUAUUUUCUGGUGAUGUGAUUUCUGCCUUGGAAAAAUGUAGCAAGGAUUUGGUGAACUCUGUAAUGGAACGAGCAAAACUGUUUACAGGAACUUCAAUGUAAAUCACUCUUUCCUUUUUGCGUUUCUGCAUGCGUUUCUCCGUUACUUCUUUUUGUUUAGUCAUGGAUUUGGGGUCCUGAGCAGCUAAAAGUAGAAAGAGGAGUUGGGAGCGGAGAGGCAAAGGAUGUGUGAUAUGCAAUACAGUAGAGAAACUUGGAGCCGACACCCUUGUUAUGGGAAGCCAUGGUUAUGGUUUCUUGGAGAGGUAAUGACUAAUGACUAAUUUUUUUCCACUCGACGAUUGAAUAAGUUUAUAUACAUUGUCAUCAGGGUCUCAUUUCCUCGUUGAUUGUUGCAGAGCCAUCCUUGGAAGUGUGAGCGACCAUUGUGCCAAACAUGCAAAAUGUCCAGUGGUGAUCGUGAAGCAGCCAGAGGAAAAUUGACUUAAUUUCCUGCCACAAACUUUCCAAGGGAUGAUUCCAGCUUUCCCCCAGCAUCAUGCAUCUAUAGAUUCUACUCAUCUACUUGUAAAACUACUUGAAUCAACUAAAAAGUUUGUGGAUAAUUGGGCAUACAGCUACACGCAAUCUUUUUGAUUCUGCGCAUCCCAUUGAUAUAAAAAUUGUGUAUUGAUUUCUCAAAUUUCAAAUGAUUUGAGUACCCCGACUAUGGUGUUUGCUUUAUCAUCUAAUUGAUGUGUGUUCCCAG
rnacentral:misc_RNA from 1 species